rnacentral:snRNA from 1 species
AGCUUUGCACAGUGACAGUAUCGUAGCCAAUAAGGUUUACCCAAGGCGUGAUUAUUGCUAAUUGAAAACUUUUCCCAAUACCCCGCCAUGAUGACUUGAAAUAUAGUCAGCAUUGGCAAUUUUUGACAGUCUCUACGGAGA